GGGGAAUAUUGGACAAUGGGCGCAAGCCUGAUCCAGCCAUGCCGCGUGAGUGAUGAAGGCCCUAGGGUUGUAAAGCUCUUUCACCGGUGAAGAUAAUGACGGUAACCGGAGAAGAAGCCCCGGCUAACUUCGUGCCAGCAGCCGCGGUAAUACGAAGGGGGCUAGCGUUGUUCGGAUUUACUGGGCGUAAAGCGCACGUAGGCGGACUUUUAAGUCAGGGGUGAAAUCCCGGGGCUCAACCCCGGAACUGCCUUUGAUACUGGAAGUCUUGAGUAUGGAAGAGGUAAGUGGAAUUGCGAGUGUAGAGGUGAAAUUCGUAGAUAUUCGCAGGAACACCAGUGGCGAAGGCGGCUUACUGGUCCAUUACUGACGCUGAGGUGCGAAAGCGUGGGGAGCAAAC
rnacentral:rRNA from 1 species